rnacentral:lncRNA from 1 species
CCACACACCGUCGCCAUUAACGCGUCGUCCUCGAGUUGUGACUCCGGUCUUGCGCGGUCGAUCAAGAACAUCACCGAACCAAAACGGAUUUGGUUUCUUCUUCAACGAAGAAUCAAGCAACGAUUGGAUCCAGUAUGGAAAUUCAAGGUCCAACCCGUUCAGAACCGAAAUUCAGAUCAUUAGCAGCGGAAUGAAGAGAUUGGAGGAAGGAGAACGACCUACCGGAAUCGGCGUGUUAUCGUUGAAAUUUGAUGAAGAUCAAGUGGCGCCGGAGAUUCGGCAACGGAAGCGGAGCACGAGAAUUAAUGGCCUAUUGACAUGU